rnacentral:rRNA from 1 species
GAUGAACGCUGGCGGCGUGCCUAAUACAUGCAAGUCGAGCGAACGGACGAGAAGCUUGCUUCUCUGAUGUUAGCGGCGGACGGGUGAGUAACACGUGGAUAACCUACCUAUAAGACUGGGAUAACUUCGGGAAACCGGAGCUAAUACCGGAUAAUAUUUUGAACCGCAUGGUUCAAAAGUGAAAGACGGUCUUGCUGUCACUUAUAGAUGGAUCCGCGCUGCAUUAGCUAGUUGGUAAGGUAACGGCUUACCAAGGCAACGAUGCAUAGCCGACCUGAGAGGGUGAUAGGCCACACUGGAACUGAAACACGGUCCAGACUCCUACGGGAGGCAGCAGUAGGGAAUCUUCCGCAAUGGGCGAAAGCCUGACGGAGCAACGCCGCGUGAGUGAUGAAGGUCUUCGGAUCGUAAAACUCUGUUAUUAGGGAAGAACAUAUGUGUAAGUAACUGUGCACAUCUUGACGGUACCUAAUCAGAAAGCCACGGCUAACUACGUG